GGUACCUCUAAACAAUACUGUGUGUUCAAACGGGAUGGACUGACCCGUCCCACAACACCACAAACACAAUCGCCGUUGUAGCAACAGAAGCUGAGUCAUCUGAGUCAUCCACAGUACUCAUUGAGUACUUGGUAAAUGUGCAACACCGUACUGAGCGCCUGGGAAACUACUACAGGGUGUAAAUCUCUCCUUGACUUGAAACCUCAUCUGUACAACAUUGCCAGAUGAUUCCUCCCCUGAUGCGUCAUGGUUCCUACUUCAAUGGGUGUAAUUUAUAUCUAUUAUCUGCCUUCUCUAUGUUGUAAGCUCAAAAUGGGCAGGGAACCUGUCGAUUGUGAUACUGUGCUUGGUGUAUGCAAAAUGCUGGGUAAAUACAAGUGACUGAAAUGGUGGUCCUCAGCAAUCAAGGUCUCUUCUCUUCUCCUCUCCCCCCCCCCACCGCCCGUUCUCCUCAUUAUACAGUGCUCCGUCAAGUACUGUGCCAUAAACAUUACUGAUGUCUUUAUGCAAUACUACCGUCCUUCACUCGAAGUACUCACUUAUUCUGUGUUCUCGUACUGCCGAUCGGAGCUGAUGUUUGGUUCAGCGAGCAUUACUUCAUGUACUGACCUUGUGUAUGCCAUUCUGCCUGUCUACAUUAAUGUCUGUCACAGACCAGAUGCUUCUUAGGAGCAGGGGCCAUGUAUGUUAUGUAGUGUUGAACUCUUGGAACCGUUUAUACUGUGUUUUCUUGACGAAGUCCAUGCUUCCCUCUGUAGACUUGUUUUGGGCGGGGCAGGUGUCUGUUAAACUUCUCUAAUGUAUGCUCCCCAGGGGUUAUAACGUACACACAGUAAGAGCUCAAAUCGUGUAACCUGACAGACUGACUUAGAUUGUGAGAUCCCAGUGGACAGGGACUGUGUCUUUUAGCACCAGCUGGCCAAAGAGGGGGCUUAAAGGUGUGUGGGCUUAUUCAAGUCCGACCAAACUUGGAGCGGCGAAGAUGGACAAGCAUGCAGGAGCAGACUGGCGCUGGUCCAUAAUUUCAGGGCCUUGGCUGCAGGAAGAGAAAAGGCAGAAGUCCCAGCUUCUUUCUGCCCCCCUGGAGAAGUCUUCCAGACCAGCCUACUCAGAGGACCAAGGAAGCAGCUGGAGCCCUCGAUGCAUAAUGGGAGAGCUGGCCCCAUCAUCCAUCCCUGCCUCUCCAAGGACAUCAGGGUUCGGACA